UACGAGGGGGGCGAGCGUUGUUCGGAAUUAUUGGGCGUAAAGGGUGCGUAGGCGGUUCCGCAAGUCCUGUGUGAAAUCUUCGGGCUCAACUCGAAGUCUGCACGGGAAACUGCGGGGCUUGAGUGUGGGAGAGGUGAGUGGAAUUCCCGGUGUAGAGGUGAAAUUCGUAGAUAUCGGGAGGAACACCAGUGGCGAAGGCGGCGAUCUGGGAAGAUACUGACGCUGAGGUGCGAAAGCGUGGGGAGCAAACAGG
rnacentral:rRNA from 1 species